rnacentral:rRNA from 1 species
CCUACGGGAGGCAGCAGUGGGGGAUAUUGCACAAUGGGGGGAACCCUGAUGCAGCGACGCCGCGUGGGUGAAGGAGUGCUUCGGCAUGUUAAGCCCUAUCGGCAGGGAAGAAGCAAGACGGUACCUGACUAAGAAGCCCCGGCUAACUACGUGCCAGCAGCCGCGGUACUACGUAGGGGGCGAGCGUUAUCCGGAUUCACUGGGUGUAAAGGGAGCGUAGACGGGCAUGCAAGCCAGGGGUGAAAGCCCGGGGCCCAACCCCGGGACUGCCCUUGGAACUGCAUGGCUGGAGUGCGGGAGGGGCAGGCGGAAUUCCUGGUGUAGCGGUGAAAUGCGUAGAUAUCAGGAGGAACACCGGCGGCGAAGGCGGCCUGCUGGACCGCGACUGACGUUGAGGCUCGAAAGCGUGGGGAGCGAACAGGAUUAGAUACCCUGGUAGUC